rnacentral:piRNA from 1 species
UGAAAUCAUGCACUCAGACACCCUGGC